GUACACGCUGUGACUAGCAUAUCAAUAAGCGGAGGAAAAGAAACUAACAAGGAUUCCCCUAGUAACGGCGAGUGAAGCGGGAAGAGCUCAAAUUUGAAAUCUUAAAGGGUUUCCCUUUACGAAUUGUAGUUUAAAGAAGUGUUUUCUGUUGAGGUUUUGGUAAAAGUUCUUUGGAAUAGGACAUCAUAGAGGGUGAGAAUCCCGUAUUUGACCUUUACUUUCAACUUUGUGAUACACUUUCAAAGAGUCGGAUUGUUUGGGAAUGCAGUCCAAAAUGGGUGGUAAAUUUCAUCUAAAGCUAAAUAUUGGCGAGAGACCGAUAGCGAACAAGUACCGUGAGGGAAAGAUGAAAAGAACCUUGAAAAGAGAGUUAAACAGUACGUGAAAUUGUCAAAAGGGAAGCGUUUGACACCAGUGUUGUUUUUCUGAAAAUCAAUUAAAGAACUGUUUAUGCUAAGUUGUUUAGACUUUAUCAGCUAACUGUUUAGUUUUGAGCUUUUCUUUAAUGCACUUUUCAGUUAACAAGUCAACAUCAAUUUCUUUUGCUGUAAAAAAGCUUGAGGAAGGUGGCUUGAGAUUCGUCUUAAGUGUUUAUAGCCUCUUGCCUAUGCAGUCGGAGAGAUUGAGGUCUGCAGCGUAGAUCCUUCGGGGCUAAAUGCAUUUGUGCUAAGUUAUAGCAUUUUAUAGACAAUUUGUUGACUAUGAUUUGUCUUGUAGCUUACUCGCUUAUGUUAUUUUACCUACGCUUAGGAUGUUGACAGCAGUAUAGACUGU
rnacentral:rRNA from 1 species